GUUGUGUGGGAUAUUUUGUUUAUGAGAGACUUCUUAGAAGUUUCUUCAGAAGAGGCCAAGGUGCUUCAGAAGGAACAUCCUUUGCUGCAGCCAGCCGCAUCUGGAGGGCUGGGGAGCAACCUAUAUGAGCUUCUCCUCCUAACCUGUUCCUGGGUUUGUGUUUACCAGCAGGUCCAAGAGCCCAUUUCUUCAAGGAGUUCUUUUAUUCUUCUACCAUUUUUUUUUUUUUGGACUUAUUCCUCACUGUUUUACACCACGAUCUUCAGACUCUUCAGCACCUUCAGCUCUCUCUCUCUCAUUUUCACCCUGCUUGAGAUUUCUGUUGUUGAAGAGGAACUGAUGCAGUAAGUAAACUCUGCACUGGAGGAAAGGACAGCAUCAAUUAUUGCAAGGUAGAGAGUACUUCC
ensembl:lncRNA